CUUUGUCUAAGAAUCAUGUACAGCGCAUUCAUAGUUCAAAUCUAUAUAAAGGGCAAUUUAUAUGGUAAAAGCACACUCCCCAGCCUACCCAGCACCGGCCUUAGUGAAGCAUCUGGAGUUCUUGAGGUACUCUUGCAUCAUCUUCAUUCUUUCAAUGUUUCAGCAAUUGUCCAGCGAUUAGGAGUGUUGCGAAAAUGAACUCUUUUUAGAGGUGAUGUCACUAUCAAAAUGCCAAUUUCAUAAUUCAUGCAAAUGAAGGAGUUUCUCGAUGAUUAUGAUCUCUCUUUCUUUUAAAUCCUUGCCCAUGUGAUUCCGUGAUCAAACCUUGUUACCCGGUUGGCACACCACAUUGAGCCGCAAGUUGGAAGAGCUAGAGAAAAGAUUCGAAAAGCUGGGAGAGCUAGUAGAGGACAAACUAUGACUCCAGUCAUUAGCAUCUGCAAAUCAUCAAACGCCAGUGGAGUGCCUGUAUCAUGAAAAAAAAAAAAUGCCCAAGUGUCAUGUGUGCUUCAGUAAAGGAGAUGAAUGGAGGCUCCUCCAUGUAGUCCCCACCCAAGAAAAGCGAACAAGUCAUCAUAUAUAUCUGCUUGAGGCAGGAGAGAUGUGUAUCUGUGGCCGUUAUGCAGAUAUUCUGAAUAAAUUGCUCUCACACACAUCUACGUAAAGCCAAGAUAAUUCUUUCUUAAAGACGUAAACUUUGAGGAAGUGAUCUACAGAGGACAUAAUAUUGUGGUAAAUUCUGGUAUGUUCUUGAUCAAUUCAUCAGUUCUGUUGCUUUGUA